GCGGUGGUGGCGGAAUUGGCAGACGCGCAGGAUUAAGGAUCCUGUGGCCGCUUUAGGCUGUAAGGGUUCAAGUCCCUUCCACCGCA
rnacentral:tRNA from 4 species